rnacentral:rRNA from 1 species
CCUACGGGACGCAGCAGUGAGGAAUAUUGGUCAAUGGUCGGGAGACUGAACCAGCCAAGCCGCGUGAGGGAUGAAGGUACAGAGUAUCGUAAACCUCUUUUGUCAGGGAACAAAGGCGGGGACGUGUCCCCGGAUGAGUGUACCUGAAGAAAAAGCAUCGGCUAACUCCGUGCCAGCAGCCGCGGUAAUACGGAGGAUGCGAGCGUUAUCUGGAUUUAUUGGGUUUAAAGGGUGCGAAGGCGGUUUGUUAAGUCAGCGGUCAAAGCCCGGGGCACAACCCCGCCCCGCCGUUGAGACUGGCAGUCGCGAGUUGGGGAGAGGUAUGCGGAAUGCGCGGUGUAGCGGUGAAAUGCUUAGAUAUCGCGCAGAACU